rnacentral:lncRNA from 1 species
UAUCAACCAGAUUGACUGAGAAACACCUAGGGAGGCCUAAAUGUGUGUCUGGGAGUGUCUUUGAGGGCAUUUGCCCAAAUGAUUUAGGGCCUGAGGACUGGCUUAAGGAAUGGAUGUUUUAUGGGUUCAUAAUAUGAUGAUGGCAUUAUUGGAAGGUUGUGAAAGCAGGGAGGGAGGACCUGGCUGGAAGAAGCGGGUCAGUAGGGCAGUGUCCUUGGGGAUAGGUCCCAGCCUCUUCCUACACUCUUCUGGAUUUCUGUUGGUUGGGAGGGAUUGAGCUUACCUCUGCUUUGCCACGCCCUCCCUGACUUGAUGGAUUGACACCUCUGAAACCAUAAGCUAAAAAUCAAUCCUCCUUUUAGUUUGCUUAUAUCUGGUCUUUGUCACAAACUUAGAAAAAUAAUACAGUAGCAAAACUCAGGGCAAAGCAGAAACAAGUUUAGAAUGUGUGGUAAGAAAUGAUACAUUGAAUCAUUUUGUGAACUGUGAAGAUAAAAUCCAACAUACACCUAUAACAAAUGAGCAGAACAGAGUCCCUGCCCUCGGGUAUGCCAGGCCCAGGCAGACAGUCACACAGGUAACUAGAGAUAAGAAAGACACUGCUCUAGCAGAGGCAUACUGGAGAUGCUACAGUAACAGAGUCUUCUAGUUCAGGGGCAGAGAGCAGAAACUGCCUGUGGCUAACAUCACUGCCAUGUGAUUCCUGGUAAUGACAGUGGACUAUCUCUCUGAUCUCAGCUGCAAGAUGUUCCUUUCAGGCUUGCAUAGAACCCUAGGCUGAGAGGAUUAUUUCUGCCUCAUCUACCAUUGUACUUACCUUGCUAUCUUGUCAACUGUACACGUCUGCUCUUAGUUUCUAUGCCUCCCCCUCCUCCAACCCCUGGACUCAGACAAAGAGCUUAGACAGCAUCAGCUCUGGACCCAAAUCUACAGAGCCCUACAUCUGUGGCCCUCUAGCUCAAUCUUAGAUGUUAGAAGGCAACCCUUGAUUGGCCACACUAAAUCAAUCAUUUGUGCCCCUGGGCUUGCCAAUGCAGAGUAAAGCAACUUCUCUCAUGAGGGAUUAAGAAAAUAAUGGUUUGCAGGGUGUAAUGGCUGAACCUUUAAUCUCAACACUCAGGAGGCAGAGUCAGGAAGAGCUCUGUGAGUUCAAGGCUAUCCUAUUCUACAAAUUGAGUUCCAGAACAUCCAUGCUCUGUUACACAAAGAAACCCUGUCUCAACCCACCCACCCCAAAAGAAAAGGAAAACAAUGAGCCAUUGUAGUUUGAUAGGAAAUGAAAAAUGGAUCCUCUCUCAGGAAUAUGGGGGCUCUGGGGCAAAUAGAAUUCUUUUGGUACUUGAAGGAGCUUUCUUAUCAGAAAGAAGCAAAAACUCCCAUGUUGAAAAUGCAGUGUAAUUUAGGGAAAUUGUGGCAGGAUGACUGGAAGAGGGUGGAAUGAAUAAGAGCUGGGGCUGGCCAAAUUGAAAGAAGACAAAUGCCAGGUGGGAAAAUGAUGUGAACUGAGUUAGGGAGUGAUGGAGCAUCAGGAAGAGGGCCAGUUCUAUUUUGCCAACCUAUGAUAUUGAAAGGGUUUUAAGCAAGAGCAUAACACAUUGCCUUUCAUCCCCCAUCAACAAAAUGUUCACACCAGAGCAAUCCAACCACCAUCUCCUGCUCCGCUCUGUUUCUGUACACUAAUUGUCCUUACACACAUUACAGCCUUCAUCAUAUCUCUUCCCACACUUUUCUCCAUUAUCCUAGUCAGCAUCUCUUUUUCCACCGAGUGCCCUCAAAUCUUGACCAGGCUCUCACCUCUCACUGUCUUUUUUUCCCACCAUGUUCAAGGGUGGACAUAGUCUUUCAGAGAAGAAAAAGAGGCCUGUUAGCUAACCCAACCCCAUGUUUCUUUUGUAAGAAGGAACCAAAUUUUGAAUAGAGGUCAAAUAAAGUUUAAGUUCCCAAGAUUUCCCUGGGUAACCGAUAUCCUUCCUAGUUGGCAAGUUGAGACAUGAAUGCCGAUCAAGUCAUCCUGCCAUAGUUGAAUAACCUAGCAAAUAGGUACAGGAUAAAUGUACCACAAAGACAUGUUCUAAAGGAAGUCCCCCACCCCCAAAUCCUGAUUGGUGGGAUAACUUGGCACAAAUGUUUGUGGUUUGCAAGCUUAAAAGCUCUAACAUUUGGACUCAAGGUGGCAGUUCUGCUCCCAAGUCUGUUCGGUGGCCCUGAUAGAUCUUUUUGUUAUGUGCUUAAAUACAAAGAUGAGUGUUUAAAGACAAAGACAGCUCCCCAGUCUGUGUUGUUGUCCCUGACUGGUCAGUUUUUGCUGCCUGGUUCAAAUAAAGAUCUUGCUUUGCUG